ACGAACGCUGGCGGCGCGCCUUACGCAUGCAAGUCGCACGGACCUUCGGGUUAGUGGCGGACGGCUGAGUAACGCGUAGGCAACCUAUCUAGUGGUGGGGGACAACUCGCCGAAAGGCGAGCUAAUACCGCAUGUGUUCCCGGUGUGAGACUCACCGGGAGGAAAGCCUUCGGGCGCCACUUGAGGGGCCUGCGUCCUAUCAGCUAGUUGGUGAGGUAACGGCUCACCAAGGCUAAGACGGGUAGCUGGUCUGAGAGGACGACCAGCCUCACUGGAACUGAGACACGGUCCAGACACCUACGGGUGGCAGCAGUCGAGAAUUUUUCACAAUGGGCGAAAGCCUGAUGGAGCGACGCCGCGUGGGGGAUGAAGGGCUUCGGCCCGUAAACCCCUGUCAUUUGCGAACAAACCUUUUCACCUAACACGUGGAGAGCUGAUGGUAGCGAAAGAGGAAGGGACGGCUAACUCUGUGCCAGCAGCCGCGGUAAUACAGAGGUCCCGAGCGUUGUUCGGAUUCACUGGGCGUAAAGGGUGCGUAGGUGGUCGGGUAAGUCUGAUGUGAAAUCUCCGAGCUCAACUCGGAAAUGGCAUUGGAUACUAUUCGGCUGGAGGGUUGGAGGGGGGACUGGAAUUCUCGGUGUAGCAGUGAAAUGCGUAGAUAUCGAGAGGAACACCAGUGGCGAAGGCGAGUCCCUGGACAACUCCUGACACUGAGGCACGAAAGCUAGGGGAGCAAACAGGAUUAGAUACCCUGGUAGUCCUAGCCGUAAACGGUGCAUAUUUGCUGUAAAAGGAAUCGACCCCUUUUGUGGCGAAGCUAACGCGAUAAAUAUGCCGCCUGGGAAAUACGGUCGCAAGAUAAAAACUCAAAGAAAUUGACGGGGGCCUGCACAAGCGGUGGAGUAUGUGGCUUAAUUCGAUGCAACGCGAAGAACCUUACCUGGCCUUGACAUGUGUCUAGUAGAAGGGUGAAAGCCUGACGAGAUAGCAAUAUCAGGAUACACAGGUGCUGCAUGGCUGUCGUCAGCUCGUGUCGUGAGAUGUUGGGUUAAGUCCCGCAACGAGCGCAACCCUUAUGUCCUGUUGCCACUCGAACGAGAGUUCGAAGCACUCUGGACAGACUGCCUCGCUUAAACGAGGAGGAAGGUGGGGAUGACGUCAAGUCAGUAUGGCCCUUACGGCCAGGGCUGCACACGUACUACAAUGCCCGGCACAAAGGGAAGCAAGACUGUAAAGUGGAGCAAAUCCCAAAAACCGGGCCCAGUUCAGAUUGUCGUCUGCAACUCGACGGCAUGAAGUUGGAAUCGCUAGUAAUGGCGCAUCAGCUACGGCGCCGUGAUACGUUCCCAGGCAUUGUACUCACCG
rnacentral:rRNA from 1 species